rnacentral:rRNA from 1 species
UACGUAGGAGGCGAGCGUUGUCCGGAUUUACUGGGCGUAAAGCGCGCGCAGGCGGCAUGGCAAGUAAGGUGUGAAAUCUCCCUGCCUAACGGGGAGGGUGCACUUUAGACUGCCAAGCUAGAGGACGGUAGAGGGGGGGUAGAAUUGCUGGUGUAGCGGUGAAAUGCGUAGAGAUGUGGAGGAACACCAGUGGCGAAGGCGGCUCUUUGGUCUGUAACUGACGCUGAGGCGCGAAAGCGUGGGGAUCAAACAGG